rnacentral:misc_RNA from 1 species
AAGUCGUAACAAGGUUUCCGUAGGUGAACCUGCGGAAGGAUCAUUACAGAUGGAGGAGAGUGGGAGUUGCGUGGGGGGUCGGCUAGCUAAACAGCAUGCUGCGAGGCAGCUGAACAGCGUGCUGCGACUCGUCCAUGCACGCCCACAACAUUUGCUCGGGUUGGGGGUGAUUGAAGUGCGGGUGUACUCGCUGCAGUGUACUCGCGUCAAUCUAUCUACCAACCAGAGACAUUCACGCGUGUUGUGUGUGACUGUGUAGUAUAUACUGUUCUAUUAUAGACAACUUUUAACAAUGGAUCUCUUGGCUCUU